CCGAGGACGCUGACUGGGAUAACUAUGACGACCAUCAAUAGACCAAUGAACUUUGGAGAACCAGUCUGUAUCUUUUAAACCUAACCCAACCAAAUAAAAACAAGAAACUUGAGCUCAUAAACGAAGCUUAGGCUUACCACUCACCGCUUCUCCAUUUAGAACAACCUAGGAGAUCGGCUUACAGAGAGGGGACGACAGUGGACAGAGCUGGAAGAGAGAGUGGGGGAAUGACAAGCGGGAAAGGGGCCGCAGGCUGGAAUGGAACCCAGGCCAUCCGCUUCAUGGACGCAAAAUCUUGCCAAAUCUGCGUCGGAAGAGGUGAAGUUAAGAUGCUCAAACCGGCUGCCAUGAUGGAUGUCACCAGCCUGGAGAGCGGACCGAAACCUGAUUAUGGUCUUGAGUGAGUGGGACAGCCAAGGUACCUAUCAAGGUCCACUGUAUCUGGUGACCUCCAGACUUCACUGUCGAGAAGAAAUCCUCCUCUGAUGAAUGUUGCCCGACUUGCUCCACACCAUUUUCUGCCAUCUGAUCAAGUCAUUGUGUCACAUCAACCUUUAACCUGAAAAAAUCCAGUGUUAUUACAUUUUAUGCAAACAAUAAAAAACAUUUGCAUGGAGGAAAGGUAUUUCCUGGAC